GAUCCUGGCUCACGAUGAACGCUAGCUACAGGCUUAACACAUGUAAGUCGAGGGGCAGCAUUUUAGUUUGCUUGCAAACUAAAGAUGGCGACCGGCGCACGGGUGAGUAACACGUAUCCAACCUGCCGAUAACUCAGGGAUAGCCUUUCGAAAGAAAGAUUAAUACCUGAUGGCAUAGGAUUAUCGCAUGAUAAUCCUAUUAAAGAAUUUCGGUUAUCGAUGGGGAUGCGUUCCAUUAGG
rnacentral:rRNA from 1 species